AGUCGAGAAUCUUCGGCAAUGGGCGCAAGCCUGACCGAGCGACGCCGCGUGCGGGAUGAAGGCCUUCGGGUUGUAAACCGCUGUCGGAGGGGAGGAAAUGCUGUGGGGUUCUCCCCAUGGUUUGACCUAUCUUCAAAGGAAGGACGGGCUAAGUUCGUGCCAGCAGCCGCGGUAAGACGAACCGUCCAAACGUUAUUCGGAAUUACUGGGCUUAAAGGGUGCGUAGGCUGCGCUGUUAGUCAGGUGUGAAAUCCCUCAGCUUAACUGGGGAAUUGCGCUCGAUACUGCAGUGCUGGAGGGAGACAGGGGUAAGCGGAACUGAUGGUGGAGCGGUGAAAUGCGUUGAUAUCAUCAGGAACACCGGUGGCGAAAGCGGCUUACUGGGUCUCUUCUGACGCUGAGGCACGAAAGCUAGGGGAGCGAA
rnacentral:rRNA from 1 species